rnacentral:pre_miRNA from 2 species
ACAUACUUCUUUAUAUGCCCAUAUGAACCUGGCAAACUAUGGAAUGUAAAGAAGUAUGUAU